rnacentral:lncRNA from 1 species
UUGAGAAUGUGUACUUACAUUACGCUCACUUUAAUGGGCUUGACAUUGAGAUUAUAUAUCAAUAUGCCUGCUCACGGUUAUGAAAAAUGAAUGGGGGAGAACUGUAUAGCAGACUUGGACUCUGUUGUUGUGUUACACUGGAUUCACUUUUGUGAGUGAAGUGGAAAUUUGAGACUAUGAAUGAGUUCCAACUCAAAUAGACUGUAUGAAAAGAGUUCCAGUUUGUAUCCCUUUUUUUUAAUAAGUUUGACUGUUCACUAGAACUUUGCACAAAGCAAGUGAUUAGCCAGUGGUUCAUGUGCUACAAUGCUGAUGUUGGGGACAACAUAUAUUUUGAGGGGGAGUAUGUGACAGGUUAAAAAUGGUUAAAAAUGGUUAAUAUUGGAAAUGGUAAGGUAUUGGAAUUAUUAUUCAAAUUACUUUGUAAGUAUGUUCUAUACGGUUUAAAAGAAUAUCUUUCAUAUUUCUAGAAUUGCUGAAAUAUUACUAAUAGGGUAAAUACUGUGUAAUUUGCAAUUUGAGUGUUUGAUGGUUUGUAAAUCGAUUGCUUCUGACGUGCAUAGCGGUGUGUUCUUUGCGCCUGCGCAAAAAAGUGUGUGUGCUCUUUGGAAUAAAGCAACGAGGAAGUUGGAAGUCGACUGCUUCUCUGUCCAUUUAUUUGUUCCAAAGCAACCACCUUACCUCUCCCACACUGUUGGAGCGGAGGGCGCAACACCACCACUCUCCCACCUUGCAAGGGAAGCUGCUUUGGCUCUGAUGACGCUAAAGUCUACAUUCAGCACUUUUUGCAACAGUACUACAGUGUGUACGACUCUGGAGACAGACAGUCACUGCUGGGUGCCUACCAUGAUGAGGCAUUAUUUUCAAUAACAACACCGUACAACAUCCAGAAUCCAUCAGGGUAAGGACACACACAGAGACACACACACACACACACACACACACACAGACACACACAUACACGUGCUGCUGAUUUCUUUGUUUUUCAGGAGCGUUCUGAGAGAAUAUUUCAAAGACAGUAGAAACCUGAAGAGGACCAAAGACUCCAGUAAGUUCUCCUGAAGUCAACGUAUGACUUGUAAUGAUUAGGGUUGGGUGCCGAAACCUGGAACGAGUAUGGGACCAGUUCCCAUGGAAACGCUAGUAACCAAUAAGAACAAAGAUUUCGGUGCCACACAUUACUUGAUACACAUGACGUUGUUGUUGCUGAUCAGAUCAUUGAUCAAUGACCUCAUUUCUAACAGUAGCACAUGCACAAAACACGGCCUGAAAGAAGGUGCGUGACACUAUCCGCC